rnacentral:lncRNA from 1 species
AUACCUAUCACGAGUCCCCUUUCCCAUAAGUCUGAUUUUUUUUUUUUUUUUUGCCUCUUUUCAUCUUUACACAGACCUGUUUCCUAAUGUCAGUUAACGUGAUUGGCCAGCGAAUGGAUUUCUAUGCCAUGAUCCACGCCUGCUGGCUGAUCGCUGUCUUAUAUAGACGCAGAAGGAAAGCCAUCGCGGAGAUCUGGCCCAAGUACUGCUGCUUCCUGGCGUGCAUCAUCACCUUCCAGUAUUUCAUCUGCAUCGGCAUCCCACCUGCUCCUUGCCGAGAUGACUUCAUGCUGCUUCUGUGUGCCUCCUUACAACGGCAGAUUUUUGAGGAUGAGAACAAGGCUGCAGUGCGAAUCAUGGCAGGUGACAAUGUCGAGAUCUGCAUGAACCUUGAUGCGGCCUCCUUUAGCCAACACAACCCUGUGCCAGAUUUUAUUCACUGCAGGUAACAAGAGCUUCACAUUGGCUAAAAGCCACUUUCAUGUGUGUACGUUGCUCCUCUAUACUUUAUCUGCUAUACUUUGGAAAUAGAUGUGCUGAAUUGUAUGCACUGAAGCUAAUAAAUGCUGGACAGUGUGGGUCAGCAGCCUGGAGGCUGAGCCUCUGAAUGACAGCACUGCACCUGCUUUUGUCCGUGUAAACCACCUCUUUAUGGCCUCAGUUCUCCUCCU